rnacentral:rRNA from 1 species
UGAGUAACACGUAUCCAACCUGCCGUCUACUCUUGGACAGCCUUCUGAAAGGAAGAUUAAUACAAGAUGGCAUCAUGAGUCCGCAUGUUCACAUGAUUAAAGGUAUUCCGGUAGACGAUGGGGAUGCGUUCCAUUAGAUAGUAGGCGGGGUAACGGCCCACCUAGUCUUCGAUGGAUAGGGGUUCUGAGAGGAAGGUCCCCCACAUUGGAACUGAGACACGGUCCAGACUCCUACGGGAGGCAGCAUG